UCCAGGCGGAGCGGAGAGGCUGCUUGGGGCAUGCUGACUAGUGAUCAGCUGUGUUCUCAGUCCAUCUAGGGACGAACGCAUGUGGACUCUUCGCUCGCUGUUGUGGUCUUUUGGCAGGUGCGCCAUGUCUCAAGGACCUGCCCGUCGCCAGCGGCCGCCCAAGGACCCGCUGCGACACUUGCGCGCGCGGGAGAAGCGUGGUUCGUCCUCGGGGCUUGGGAGCCCGAACACCGUGUACCUGCAGGUAGUGGCGGCGGGCGGCCGGGAUGCAGGCGCCGCGCUCUACGUCUUCUCGGAAUACAACCGGUAUCUCUUCAACUGUGGAGAAGGCAUCCAGCGACUCAUGCAGGAACACAAACUGAAGGUUGCUCGCUUGGACAACAUAUUCCUGACACGAAUGCACUGGUGUAAUGUUGGGGGAUUGUGUGGAAUGAUUCUUACUUUAAAAGAAACUGGGGUUCCAAAGUGUGUACUUUCUGGACCUCCGCAACUGGAAAAGUACUUGGAAGCAAUCAAAAUAUUUUCUGGUCCAUUGAAAGGAAUAGAUCUGGCUGUACGGCCCCACUCUGCACCAGAAUACAAAGAUGAGACCAUGACAGUUCACCAGGUCCCCAUCUACAGUGAACAGGGGCGUGGAGAGCAGCACCAGCCAGCACAGAGCCCGGAAAGGUCCCUCCACAGGCUCAGCCCAGAACAGCCUUCUAACUCUGGAUCAGCCAAAAAUGAGCAGCACCUUCUAGAUGGCAAUGGUGUAAACAAACCCUGCUGGAAAGGUGUUAGCCUGAAAAGAAGAGGAAGGGACCCUUCCUUGGUUGUUGCUUUUGUAUGUAAGCUUCACUUGAAGAAAGGAAACUUCUUGGUGCUCAAAGCAAAGGAACUGGGCCUCCCAGUUGGGACGCCCGCCAUCGCGCCCAUCAUCGCUGCUGUCAAGGAUGGGAAGAGUAUCACGUAUGAAGGAAGAGAGAUUUUGCCUGAAGAGCUCUGCACCCCCCCGGAUCCUGGUCUUGCAUUUAUUGUGGUAGAAUGCCCAGAUGAAGGAUUCAUCCAGCCCAUUUGUGACAAUGUCACCUUUAAAAGGUAUCAAGGAGAUGCUAAUGGCCCCGUGGCCGUGGUGGUUCACAUGGCCCCAGAAUCUGUGCUUAUGGACAGCAGGUACCAGCAGUGGAUGGAGAGGUUUGGGCCUGACACCCAGCACUUGAUCCUGAAUGAGAACUGUGCAUCAGUCCACAACCAUCGCAGCCACAAGAUUCAAACGCAGCUCAACCUCAUCCACCCACACAUCUUCCCCUUGCUCACCAGUUUCCACAGGAAGGAGGAAGGCCUGGCCCUCAGUGUGCCCACUGUCCGGGGUGAAUGCCUCCUCAAGUACCAGCUCCGUCCCAGGAGGGGGUGGCAGAGGGAUGCCAUUAUUUCUUGCCACCCUAAUGAAUUCAUAGCUGAGGCCCUGGAGCUCCCCAAUUUCCAGGAGAGUGUGCAGGAGUACAGGAAGAGUGUACAGGAUGCCCCAGUGCCCACAGAGAAAAAAAGCCAGUAUCCAGAAAUUGUCUUCCUUGGAACAGGGUCUGCCGUCCCUAUGAAGAUUCGGAAUGUCAGUUCCACGCUCAUCAACAUAAGCCCUGACAAGUCUCUGCUCCUGGACUGUGGCGAAGGAACAUUUGGGCAGCUGUGCCGUCACUAUGGAGAUCAAGUGGACAGGGUCCUCGGCACCCUUGCCGCUGUGUUUGUAUCCCACCUCCACGCAGACCACCACACGGGUUUGCUGAAUAUUCUGCUGCAGAGAGAGCGUGCUUUGGCAUCUCUGGGACAGCCGUUCUACCCUUUGCUGGUGGUAGCCCCUACCCAGCUCUGGCCAUGGCUGCAGCAAUACCACAACCAGUGCCAAGAGGUUCUGCACCACAUCAGUAUGAUUCCUGCCAAAUACUUUCAGAAAAGGGUAGAGGUCUCUAAUCCUCCCAUUGAAAGUCUGAUCAGUUCACUGUUGGAAACAUGUGACCUGAAAGAGUUUCAGACCUGCCUGGUCCGGCACUGCAAGGAUGCUUUUGGCUGUGCACUGGUGCACACGUCUGGCUGGAAAGUGGUCUACUCGGGGGACACCAUGCCCUGUGAGGCUCUGGUCCAGAUCGGGAAGGGUGCCACCCUGCUGAUCCAUGAAGCCACUCUGGAGGACGGCUUGGAGGGGGAAGCAGUGGAGAAGACACACAGCACCACCUCCCAAGCUAUUGGUGUGGGGAUGCGCAUGAAUUCUGGCUUUAUCAUGCUGAACCACUUCAGCCAGCGGUAUGCCAAGAUCCCCCUCUUCAGCCCUGACUUCAAUGACAAAGUUGGAAUUGCCUUCGACCACAUGAAGGUUUGCUUUGGAGACUUUCCAACAGUGCCCAAGCUGAUUCCCCCCUUGAAGGCCCUGUUUGCUGAGGACAUUGAGGAGAUGGUGGAGCGCAAGGAGAAGCGAGAGCUUCGGCUGGUACGUGCAGCACUCCUUGAGGCGGCAGCCGGCAGCCCAAAAGACAGGGAGCCCUUGCAGAAGCGAGCCCAAGUGGCGGAGCCGCACAGCCCACAGAGCAAGAAGGCCAGAGCCUAGUGAAGGUCUGGCCCCACCCUGAACUCUGAAAGCUGUCUUCCGCACUCUACCCGCCCCUGUGCUCUUCACCCUCGUGGGAGCCAGAGAAGAUGGUCCAGCCAGGAGGCCUCUUGUGAUAGGAGUGUGGAGCCAUGCUGUGUCCUGUGUCCUGGAAAACAUGGGAAGGACUUUGGAAAACCAGGUGACAAGAAAAAGGCACAGAGCAAGGACUUGGCCUUUCCUGGGCGACCAUCAGCCUCCUCCUAACGCAUUAUGGGGAAGCAUGAACUGCCCCACAGCUUUAAUAAAAUAAGAACAUGUGCCAAGCUUUGGGAUAAUAAAUCUAUUUUAAUAACAUUACUUUUGACAACGAUUUUUACAUGUAUUUAAAGAUAACCUUCAACCCCUGGGCUUCAUUACAAAGUGGGGAGUGAACUGCC